rnacentral:rRNA from 1 species
UCGUCGUCAGGACGAACGCUGGCGGCGUGCCUAACACAUGCAAGUCGAACGGGACUAUAUUGAUUAAUCUUCGGAAGCGUUGGUAUAGUUUAGUGGCGGACGGGUGAGUAACACGUGAGCAACCUGCCUUUCAGAGAGGGAUACCGUUUGGAAACGAACGCUAAUACCGCAUAAAGUAUCGUGACCGCAUGAUCGUGAUACCAAAGGAGCGAUCCGCUGAAAGAUGGGCUCGCGGCUGAUUAGAUAGUUGGUGGGGUAACGGCCUACCAAGUCGACGAUCAGUAGCCGGACUGAGAGGUUGAACGGCCACAUUGGGACUGAGACACGGCCCAGACUCCUACGGGAGGCAGCAGUGGGGAGUAUUGCGCAAUGGGGGCAACCCUGAACCGCAGCAACGCCGCGUGUGGGAAGAAGGUCUUCGGAUUGUAAACCAUUGUCUUCGGUGACGAUAAUGACGGUAGCCGAGGAGGAAGCUCCGGCUAACUACGUGCCAGCAGCAGC